GGCGCAAGGGUGCGUAACACGUGGGUAAUUUGCCAGGAAGUUCGGGAUAACUCGCUGAAAGGCGAGCUAAUACCGGAUGUGAUAAUCGGGGGGCAUCUCUUGAUUAUUAAAGUUGGGGACCGCAAGGCCUGACGUUUCCUGAUAAGCCCGCGGCCUAUCAGCUAGUUGGUGAGGUAACGGCUCACCAAGGCUAAGACGGGUAGCUGGUCUGAGAGGACGACCAGCCACACUGGAACUGAGACACGGUCCAGACACCUACGGAUGGCAGCAGUCGAGAAUUUUUCACAAUGGGCGCAAGCCUGAUGGAGCGACGCCGCGUGGGGGAUGAAGGGCUUCGGCCCGUAAACCCCUGUCAUUUGCGAACAAACCUCGCUAUUUAAAAGAUGGCGAGCUGAUGGUAGCGAAAGAGGAAGGGACGGCUAACUCUGUGCCAGCAGCCGCGGUAAUACAGAGGUCCCAAGCGUUGUUCGGAUUCACUGGGCGUAAAGGGUGCGUAGGUGGUGAGGUAAGUCGGAUGUGAAAGCUCCGAGCUCAACUCGGAAAUGGCAUUGGAAACUACCUUGCUAGAGGGUUUGAGGGGAGACUGGAAUACUUGGUGUAGCAGUGAAAUGCGUAGAUAUCAAGUGGAACACCAGUGGCGAAGGCGAGUCCCUGGAAAACUCCUGACACUGAGGCACGAAAGCUAGGGGAGCAAACAGGAUUAGAUACCCUGGUAGUCC
rnacentral:rRNA from 1 species